CUUCCAAGUCUGCUGCAAUUUGUGCCUCCAGGUGAAAAAACCCUAGAGAAGAUCACUAGUAGAUCGACGAAAAGGAGAUCAAGAAACAAGAUUAUAUGAUCAAGGAAAACAAGAUCACUAGUUGGUAUAAUUAUCCUAAAACCCUUUAACUCCUACCACCCUUAUCACAUUCCAAACGAGUCAAACCUAGACACACAAAAGCCCAUUUGGAUCUGCAAUUUGUACCUCGAGGUGAAAAAUCUUUGAGAGACUAUUUGUAGAUUAACGAAAGAAAGAUCAAGAAAGAAACAAGGAAGAUAUGGAAGAAGAAGAAAAUAAGAAGAUGAAGAACAUAAUGGUUGAUCUGAAUAUUUGGAGUGAGCGGACUCGGAAAUGAGAUUUUCAUGUGGCAUUCUUCAGUUCUGGAUCCAAAAAUUGAAGCACCCUCACCAGCACUAACCCUGGUGGAAUUAGCUGGUUGAUAUGGUAUCGGCGGUGGUAGAGCGUCAUCAGACUGAUUUGGAUACCCCACACAGAUCCUUUUACCAUUGUUACAAGGUUUCUGCAGGUACACAUGAACUCCUUGCUGGAAGCUACUAAUGCUGCUUGUGAGUAUAUGCCCUGGCACAGAAGUUGAGGUUAUUGCUGGUGGCCCUAAUUGCAGCAGUGGUUAUAUGCCCUGGCGCAGAAGUCACUGCUACGGUUUUCUUAUCAACCCAGAUAACCCACCUUGUUAAUAUUGAUGAAUAAGGUAUUUGCUCGGGUGAUCAAACUGAUUUGGAUCCUCGGCACAGAUCCCUUAACAAGUAGUCAUAUCCUUAACAAGAUUUCUCAAGGUCUGAGGAGAAGCUAAUUAUACACACCUGAAGUGAUAUAUUGAAAGGUUAGGGAUCCUCAUCGUAUUGGUUGUAAUUGUCCUGCAAGGACUAGUCAUUGAUGCAAAGCAAUGGACAGAUAGUAGAAGAACAAGCGAAGGAAGAAGCACAACUGAAACAAACAUGUCCUAAAUUGACAAAGAUGCUUAAUCCUGUUUUAGCAAGUGAAGUUCUUUUUCUAAUACUUAAUUUGAUGUUAUUAUUUUAUACAUGAGAGCCUUCUGUAAAAAGUUUGGUUGAAAAAACAGUCAUACCCACAGGAUACAGGGGAACUCGUGAGCUUUCCUGGAAACCUAGUUUAAGAAUCAGUUCAUCUUCUGUUAGCCCUUUAGUGGAAUCUGUUUGAUUACUCUUCGUUGCUUAUGUAAACACUACUGGGAAAAGCAUCAUUCACUAAUGAUUCAAAAUUUAUCAUAGUCGUAAGUUGAUAC